rnacentral:rRNA from 1 species
AAUCAACGCUGGCGGCGUGCCUAACACAUGCAAGUCGAACGCGAAAGGGGAGCAAUCCCUGAGUAGAGUGGCGAACGGGUGAGUAACACGUGGGUGACCUACCCUCGAGUGGGGGAUAAC